UCCACGCCGUAAACGAUGUUCACUCGCUGUUUGCGAUAUAUUGCAAGCGGCCAAGCGAAAGCAUUAAGUGAACCACCUGGGGAGUACGAUCGCAAGGUUGAAACUCAAAGGAAUUGACGGGGGCCCGCACAAGCGGAGGAACAUGUGGUUUAAUUCGAUGAUACGCGAGGAACCUUACCCGGGCUUAAAUGUAGGAUGCAUGUAGUGGAAACACUCUUCCCUUCGGGGCUGCCUACAAGGUGCUGCAUGGUUGUCGUCAGCUCGUGCCGUGAGGUGUCGGGUUAAGUCCCAUAACGAGCGCAACCCCUAUCGUUAGUUGCCA
rnacentral:rRNA from 1 species